UCUGUUUUUGGCCGUUUUCGAGAUAGUAUCUACAAUACAAUACGAAACCAAUGUUUAAAAAAAUAAAGUAGUUAAACUAGUGCCGUUUAAACGUAUUUUACCGUUGUGAUUGACAUAGCUCGGUGCUUGUCUCUGAGUCCAGUUCGCUUGGGGAAGAACGUCCAAUAGCUUGAAACGACGGUGAUAUAGCUCUUUCUUUGCGUUGUAAACAGGAAUAAGGCCAUUAAUGGGAGGAUGCUUGUUUCUCUUACUUAGCAGUAUUUAGCCAAUUUGAACUAUCCUUAUCACUCCCCCUCAAAAUCAACCGUAAAGCAUGUACAUUGAGGUUGGAUCGAACCAAUCCUAAAUGUGUGGCCAA